rnacentral:rRNA from 1 species
UGGGGAAUAUUGCACAAUGGGGGAAACCCUGAUGCAGCGACGCCGCGUGAACGAAGAAGGUAUUCGUAUCGUAAAGUUCUGUCCUAUGGGAAGAUAAUGACAGUACCAUGGAAGAAAGCUCCGGCUAAAUACGUGCCAGCAGCCGCGGUAAUACGUAUGGAGCGAGCGUUGUCCGGAAUUAUUGGGCGUAAAGGGUACGCAGGCGGUUUAAUAAGUCGAAUGUUAAAGAUCGGGGCUCAACCCCGCAAAGCAUUGGAAACUGAUAAACUUGAGUAGUGGAGAGGAAAGUGGAAUUCCUAGUGUAGUGGUGAAAUACGUAGAUAUUAGGAGGAAUACCAGUAGCGAAGGCGACUUUCUGGACACAAACUGACGCUGAGGUACGAAAGCGUGGGGAGCAAACAGG